AACGUAACCCUAAAACCGAAUGUGAUAUAUAAAGGGUUUUAAAUUAGAAAAAUUAUCCUGAACAAACUUUUAAUAAUAAAACUCUUUAAAUACUUGUAAUACUUGUAAAGAGCCAGUUUGUUAAGUAAAUAGAGCUACUAUUUAUGUUGUCGUCCAUCUUGUGUUUGGGAGUCAUUUUUUUGGAUAGAUGGAUUUACAAAUUUUGUCCAAAACAUUCAUCCAUCCUAUUUGGAAGUUGAAACAAAGCAAGAGCUUUUAUUAUAACUCAUUCAGAAGGAGGGAGUUACUUAUAUUCUCAGAAAUGACGUCAUAGUUUAUCUGUCAUGUUUUCUUUAUAACGAUAAUAUAUUCAACAAAGAAUAAACUAAGAAUUGGAAUACUCGGAUCAUUCAUAUGGUAUGAGAUUUAGAUUUUGGAUAGGAUUAGGAAGAGUUGCACUUUACGAGGAAUAAUGAAUAAAAUUUUAAUGCGUUGUACAUUAAAGUUGGACUAGAUUUUGAUCCUUUUUUGAUGU
rnacentral:lncRNA from 1 species